ACUGUCAAAUUGUCUUUCACAAUGGCUGCAAAAUUUUACAUUUUCUCCAGCAAUGUAUGAGAGUUCCUGUUGCUCUGCAUCCUCAUCAGCAUUUGGUUUUGUGAGUUUUUUGGAUUUGGGCCAUUCUAAUAGGUGUAUAGUGGUAUCUCAUUACUGGUUUAAUAUGCAAUUGCCUAGCAACAAAUGAUGUUGAGCAUCUUUAUGUAUACCUACUUGCUACCUGUACAUCUUCUUUGGUGAAUUGUCUGUUCAAAUCUUUUUACCAUUUUUAAAUAAACUUUAUUUUAAGUUCAGAGGUGUAAGAUGAUAUCUCGUUGUGGUUUUGAUUUGCAUUUCUCUAGUGAUUAGUGAUGAUGAGCAUUUCACCUCUUGAUAGGAGGAAGUACAGAGUAGCGUAGCAUGGCAAAAGGUAGUUGGGUAAGGACUAGUGUAGAGAAUUGCAGCUGUUUCUGAAAUCUGCCCCAUGGCUAGAAGAUCAAAGGUCGCCUCGGGCAAUUCUGUCCCAUGGCUAGAAGAUCAAACGUCGCCUUGGGCAAGCUACUUACCCUCUCUAAGUUUCUCAUCUGCAAGUUCACUUUGGUAUUGAUAGUUAUCAUUCAUUGAGUGCUUACUGUGUGCUUUAUGCUGAUGAUCUCUUUUAUCCUCAAACAUACCUCAUACAGCAUGUAUAGCUGAAUGUCAGAGAGAUUAAAUAACUUAAACUACAUCAGCUCCUGAAGCUAUCAAUCUGAAGCUGAGAGUCCAAGCUAGGCUGUCUGACCCCAGAGCAUGUCUGGGCAACUCCUUGUUGUACACAAUUUCUUCUAGGCAUUUAUGAAGCUCUAAUCCUUGGUAUAUAGAGUCUAGCUUCCACGUUGUUGUCCUAAUGCAGGCAAGCCUGGUCACAGGUAUGCUGGGACCCUGGUGGCAAUCAGGGCCACUUAUGUGGGAGCUGGGCCUGGCCCUCCAGAGGCAGCUGAAGAGUCCAAAAUGCAGAGUUUCAAGGGGUCAGGCCACCGUGGCUUGGUAUAUAUAUGUGUUAAUUUUCCAAGGAGACCAAAUCAGCAGGGGUAGGGGAGCGGGGAUCUGGUGAAAUGGGAUGCCAGGAAGUCAUUUGUGGCAGCUUUGAUAGGAGCAUGCUGUAGUUCUGGUCCCCUGACAAGGGUUAGGUGUGGGCUUAUGGCUUGAGCAAGCAGAUUAAGAGGUGGGAGUGAGGAUUCCACCCUGACCAGCAUUCACGCACUUAAGAGCUGUUUACCGAGUGCCUGCAUGCACCAGGUGCUAUGCUGAGUCCAGAAAAGUGGUCUAGGCAGGAGCACCAACUCUACCCUCUAAAGGAGGUGCCACAGAAAAUAGAAGUGAGCCAACCCAUGAAAUGAUUGCAAGCUGUCAUAAAUGCAAACAAGAAAUAGAGCUAGAGCAUUGGUGUGUGUGUGUGUUGGUGGGGGGAAUAUUUGUGAAAGGCAGAUCAAGAUGCCUCUUUGGGGAGGAGACAGUGAAGCUGAGACCCAGUGGAC
rnacentral:lncRNA from 1 species